rnacentral:rRNA from 1 species
GCGGGAUGAGCUCAAAUUUAAAAUCUUGCAGCCUCAGGUUGUACGAGUUGUAGUCUAGAGAAUCGUUUUCCGCGUUGGCCUGUGUACAAGUCCCUUGGAACAGGGCGUCAUAGAGGGUGAGAAUCCCGUCCUUGACACAGACUACCAAUGCUUUGUGAUGCGAUCUCGAAGAGUCGAGUUGUUUGGGAAUGCAGCUCAAAAUGGGUGGUAAAUUCCAUCUAAAGCUAAAUAUUGGCGAGAGACCGAUAGCGAACAAGUACCGUGAGGGAAAGAUGAAAAGCACUUUGGAAAGAGAGUUAAACAGUACGUGAAAUUGUUAAAAGGGAAACGAUUGAAGUCAGUCAUGCUUUCCGAGACUCAGCCGAUUCUGUCGGUGUACUUCUCGGUUUGCAGGCCAGCAUCAGUUUCGAUCUGUGGAAAAGGUUGGAGGGAACGUGGCAUCUUCGGAUGUGUUAUAGCCCUCCUUCGAAUACAUAGAGCGGGACUGAGGAACGCAGCGCGCCCUUUAUUGGGUUGGUCUUCGGAUACAUACGCGCUUAGGAUGCUGGCAUAAUGGCUUUAAACGACCCGUCUUGAACCCACGGACCA